AUUGAACGCUGGCGGCAGGCCUAACACAUGCAAGUCGAGCGGAUGACGGGAGCUUGCUCCUUGAUUCAGCGGCGGACGGGUGAGUAAUGCCUAGGAAUCUGCCUGGUAGUGGGGGACAACGUUUCGAAAGGAACGCUAAUACCGCAUACGUUCUACGGGAGAAAGCAGGGGACCUUCGGGCCUUGCGCUAUCAGAUGAGCCUAGGUCGGAUUAGCUUGUUGGUGAGGUAAUGGCUCACCAAGGCGACGAUCCGUAACUGGUCUGAGAGGAUGAUCAGUCACACGGGAACUGAGACACGGUCCAGACUCCUACGGGAGGCAGCAGUGGGGAAUAUUGGACAAUGGGCGAAAGCCUGAUCCAGCCAUGCCGCGUGUGUGAAGAAGGUCUUCGGAUUGUAAAGCACUUUAGGUUGGGAGGAAGGGUUGUAGAUUAAUACGCUGCAAUUUUGACGUUACCGACAGAAUAAGCACCGGCUAACUCUGUG
rnacentral:rRNA from 1 species